CUGCCUGGUUGUUUAUGACUUCCCACAUCGUUUUCCACUUAAUUAUGAUUUUGGGACCUUAGCUGGCGGUCUGGGUUGUUUCCCUUUUCACGAUGGACGUUAGCACCCAUCGUGUGUCUCCCAUGAUAACAUUCUUUAGUAUUCGUAGUUUGCAUUGGUUUAGUAAUCCAAGAUGGACCCUUAGCCAAAACAGUGCUCUACCCCCAAAGAUGAAUUCAUAAGGCGCUACCUAAAUAGCUUUCGGGGUAGAGCACUGUUUUGGCUAAGGGUCCAUCUUGGAUUACUAAACCAAUGCAAACUACGAAUACUAAAGAAUGUUAUCAUGGGAGACACACGAUGGGUGCUAACGUCCUUCGUGAAAAGGGAAACAACCCAGACCGCCAGCUAAGGUCCCAAAAUCAUAAUUAAGUGGAAAACGAUGUGGGAAGUCAUAAACAACCAGGGCGUUGGCUUAGAAGCAGCCAUCAUUUAAAGAAAGCGUAAUAGCUCACUGGUCGAGUCAUCCUGCGCGGAAAAUGUAACGGGGCUAAAUUAUGUACCGAAGCUGCGGCAACAAUAUUUCAUAUAUUGUUGGGUAGGGGAGCGUUCUGUAAGCCAAUGAAGGUAUAUUGUAAAGUAUACUGGAGGUAUCAGAAGUGCGAAUGCUGACAUAAGUAACGAAAAAGCGGGCAAAAAACCCGCUCGCCGAAAAACUAAGGUUUCCUGUUCAACGGUAAUCGAAGCAGGGUAAGUCGGCUCCUAAGGCGAGGUCGAAAGGCGUAGUCGAUGGGUAACAGGUUAAUAUUCCUGUACUAGAUGUAACUGCGAAGGGGGUACGAAGAAAGCUAAGUUCGCCAGGUGACGGUUAUCCUGGUUUAAGCAUGUAGGUGAAAAAGCAGGAUAACCGUCACCUGGCGAACUUAGCUUUCUUCGUACCCCCUUCGCAGUUACAUCUAGUACAGGAAUAUUAACCUGUUACCCAUCGACUACGCCUUUCGACCUCGCCUUAGGAGCCGACUUACCCUGCUUCGAUUACCGUUGAACAGGAAACCUUAGUUUUUCGGCGAGCGGGUUUUUUUUGCCCGCUUUUUCGUUACUUAUGUCAGCAUUCGCACUUCUGAUACCUCCAGUAUACUUUACAAUAUACCUUCAUUGGCUUACAGAACGCUCCCCUACCCAAAAAUAUAUGAAAUAUUGUUGCCGCAGCUUCGGUACAUAAUUUAGCCC
rnacentral:rRNA from 1 species